rnacentral:rRNA from 1 species
AACGCUGGCGGCGUGCCUAACACAUGCAAGUCGAACGGAGUUCUCUGGAUCAAGGCUUCGGCCAAGUGAAUUUGAACUUAGUGGCGAACGGGUGAGUAACGCGUGAGCAACCUGCCUUUCAGAGGGGGACAACAGUUGGAAACGACUGCUAAUACCGCAUAACACAUAUUAGGGGCAUCCCUUUUAUGUCAAAGAUUUAUCGCUGAAAGAUGGCUUCGCGUCUGAUUAGCUAGAUGGCGGGGUAACGGCCCACCAUGGCGACGAUCAGUAGCCGGUCUGAGAGGAUGAACGGCCACAUUGGGACUGAGAUACGGCCCAGACUCCUACGGGAGGCAGCAGUGGGGAAUAUUGGGCAAUGGGGGAAACCCUGACCCAGCAACGCCGCGUGAAGGAAGAAGGCCUUCGGGUUGUAAACUUCUUUUACCAGGGACGAACACAAUGACGGUACCUGGAGAAAAGCAACGGCUAACUACGUG